rnacentral:rRNA from 1 species
CGAAGCGGUAACAGAUCCCCGCUUGCUGGGAUGCUGACGAGCGGCGGAGGGGUGAGUAAUGCAUAGGAAUCUGCCCGAUAGUGGGGGAUAACCUGGGGAAACCCAGGCUAAUACCGCAUACUUCCUACGGGAAAAAGGGGGCUUCGGCUCCCGCUAUCGGAUGACCCUAUGUCGGAUUAGCUAGUUGGUGAGGUAAAGGCUCACCAGGGCAACGAUCCGUAGCUGGUCUGAGAGGAUGAUCACCCACAUCGGGACUGAAACACGGCCCGAACUCCUACGGGAGGCAGCAGUGGGGAAUAUUGGACAAUGGGGGCAACCCUGAUCCACCCAUGCCGCGUGUGUGAAAAAGGCCCUCGGGUUGUAAAGCACUUUCAGCGAGGAAGAACGCCUAGCGGUUAAUACCCGCUAGGAAAGACAUCACUCGCAAAAAAAGCACCGGCUAACUC